rnacentral:rRNA from 1 species
UAGCGGCAGACGGGUGCGUAACAUGUGGGAAUCUGCCUUUUGGUUCGGAACAACACGGGGAAACCUGUGCUAAUACCGGAUAAGUCCUUACGGAGAAAGUUUUAAUGCCAAAAGAUGAGCCCGCAUUUGAUUAGCUAGUUGGUGAGGUAAAAGCUCACCAAGGCGAUAAUCAAUAGCUGAUUUGAGAGGAUGAUCAGCCACGCUGGGACUGAGACACGGCCCAAACUCCUACGGGAGGCAGCAGGGGGGAAUUUUCCCCAAUGGGCGCAAGCCUGAAGAAACAACCCCCGUGGGGGAAGAAGGCCUCUGGGGUGAAACCCUCUUUUAUCAAGGAAAAAAAACUGGCGGGUUCUUGGAGAAAAA